rnacentral:lncRNA from 1 species
CUAUUUGGAAACAACCUCUCUACCCAAGAGUAGGGGUAAUGUCUGCGUACAUAAUAUAAUUUUACAAAUUUAUGUAUCCUCCAAAUAAUAUAAUUUUACAAAUUUAUGUAUCCUCCAAAUAUAGAGAUAAGCUUAAUUAAUUCGGAAAGAAUACUUCGUAUUGCUGAAAUAGUUUCUUAGGACAGUAUCUAGAACGACUUAAGUCAUUUUGUAUAUCUGCAAAUAAAUAAUUGCAUGUAUUGUUAUUACUUUUUUGUGUUAUUUUACGAUAAUCUAAAAAACUAUGACAAACAACACUGAUAUUGGAAAUACUACUGAACGCGACCUCCGCCACUCCAAUCCCAGUUGUACUGCUAUACGGCGGACCAUUUUCAGAUGAGUCAACAGCGGCAUCGUUGACCCAAUGACCAUUUUUCAUGUGAGUUUUUUUCCAAAAUUUCUGAAAGUUUGACUCAUUUUCGGUGAUUACAUCUCUCUAACAAAAUAAAUCAAAUUAUAUUAUAGAA